rnacentral:rRNA from 1 species
UACGUAGGGUGCAAGCGUUGUCCGGAAUUAUUGGGCGUAAAGAGCUCGUAGGCGGUCUGUCGCGUCGGCUGUGAAAUCCCGAGGCUCAACCUCGGGUCUGCAGUCGAUACGGGCAAACUAGAGUAUUGCAGGGGAGACUGGAACUCCUGGUGUAGCGGUGAAAUGCGCAGAUAUCAGGAGGAACACCGGUGGCGAAGGCGGGUCUCUGGGCAAUAACUGACGCUGAGGAGCGAAAGCGUGGGGAGCGAACAGG